rnacentral:rRNA from 1 species
CAAGUCGAACGGGAACAUGGGUAGCAAUACCUGAUGACGAGUGGCGCACGGGUGCGUAACACGUAUGCAACCUACCUAUAACUGGGGAAUAGCCCUCCGAAAGGAGGAUUAACACCGCAUAACAUCAUUCUACGGCAUCGCAGAAUGAUCAAACCUCCGGGGGUUAUAGAUGGGCAUGCGGAACAUUAGCUAGUUGGUGAGGUAACGGCUCACCAAGGCCACGAUGUUUAGGGGGUCUGAGAGGAUGAUCCCCCACACUGGUACUGAGACACGGACCAGACUCCUACGGGAGGCAGCAGUAAGGAAUAUUGGACAAUGGGGGCAACCCUGAUCCAGCCAUGCCGCGUGAAGGAUGAAGGCGCUCUGCGUUGUAAACUUCUUUUGUACGGGAAUAAACCCCUCUACGUGUAGAGGGUUGAAUGUACCGUAAGAAUAAGGAUCGGCUAACUUCGUGCCAGCAGCCGCGGUAAUACGAAGGAUCCAAGCGUUAUCCGGAUUUAUUGGGUUUAAAGGGUGCGUAGGCGGGCUAUUAAGUCAGUGGUGAAAGCCCCAAGCUUAACUUGGGAACUGCCAUUGAUACUGAUGGUCUUGAGUACACUUGAAGUGGGCGGAAUGUGUCAUGUAGCGGUGAAAUGCUUAGAUAUGACACAGAACACCGAUUGCGAAGGCAGCUCACUAAAUUGUAACUGACGCUGAGGCACGAAAGCGUGGGGAUCAAACAGGAUUAGAUACCCUGGUAGUCCACGCCCUAAACGAUGAUUACUCGAUGUGUGCAAUACACCGUACGCGUCUGAGCGAAAGCAUUAAGUAAUCCACCUGGGGAGUACGACCGCAAGGUUGAAACUC